rnacentral:rRNA from 1 species
GACGAACGCUGGCGGCGUGCCUAACACAUGCAAGUCGAACGGAAAGGCCCUGCUUUUGUGGGGUGCUCGAGUGGCGAACGGGUGAGUAACACGUGAGUAACCUGCACUUGACUUUGGGAUAACUUCAGGAAACUGGGGCUAAUACCGGAUAGGAGCUACUGCUGCAUGGUGGGGGUUGGAAAGUUUCGGCGGUUGGGGAUGGACUAGCGGCUUAUCAGCUUGUUGGUGGGGUAGUGGCUGACCAAGGCUUUGACGGGUAGCCGGCCUGAGAGGGUGACCGGCCACAUUGGGACUGAGAUACGGCCCAGACUCCUACGGUAGGCAGCAGUGGGGAAUAUUACACAAUGGGCGGAAGCCUGAUGCAACAACGCCGCGUGCGGGAUGACGUCCUUCGGGUUGUAAACCGCUUUCGCCUGUGACGAAGCGUUAGUGACGGUAACGGGUAAAGAAGCACCGGCUAACUACGUG